ACAGUGGUGGUUCACUGGUAAAAUUCUUGCCUUCCAUGUGGGACACCCAGGUUCAAUUCCUGGCCAGUGCA
rfam:Loxodonta africana unplaced genomic scaffold scaffold_49, whole genome shotgun sequence.